rnacentral:lncRNA from 1 species
AAGCCAGCGAAUAAACUACUUUAAUGACAAAACCAUAAAAGGUUGAAAAAUAGUAAUAAGACUUUUGAAAAGUGCAAAGAUUAUUGCGAACUUGUGGAAAAAAAUCAGACCAUUAGGUGAAAAUUAACAAAAUAAAAAGCUAAUUAACAGGCCUUGAAUUCCAUAAAAUUUAAGUUUCAUUUCUCUAAAAUCAACAAGGUUUUUAUUCUGAGUAAUAAAAUACUCAAAGAGAUCAAUAAAGUUGCUGACUGCAUUUCUCGCUCUUGGGCAUCUUGGUUCUUGACCUGCAAGUUUAAAGCUCAAUAAACGGAAGUAAAGAUUUCUCUACAUGGAGUAGUAUACCUUCUGAUUUCAACGAUUUUGACAAUCAUGAAACAGUAAAACAUAUAGAAAGUUGCAAUUCGUCAUCAAUGUUGGGAAAACUUAAUCCGAUAACUCCAACUAAUGUUUUAGCUGCACUAAAAUGUAACAAAGUUGAUAUUACAAACCAGGAUUUACUUGAUACAUCAUCUGAAAACUGGAGACAAAGUUGUUGCAGUAAAACAAGCAUAUCAAACAUUUCUUAAAAAAAUAAGUCCGAGUUAGAUGCUAUAACAAUCAAGCCGAUUCAUCCUUUAUCUAAAAGUCAAUCAUUUGAAGGUUAUAAAUCCAGACUGUGUGAAUUAGAAAAAAUGAGUACAUCUUUGCCCAUGUUAAUGCAAGAUAAAGAUAAUAAAUUUGCAGACUAUACUGAUUAUAU